CGUAGCUGAAGAGUGCAGUCGAUGGGAAACAGGUUAAUAUUCCUGUGCUGCUUAUAUGCACGAAGGAGGGACGGAGAAGGUUAGGUAGGCCGGGCGAAUGGUUGUCCAGGUGAAAGUAUGUAGGUAGGAAUGCUAGGCAAAUCCGGUGUUCUGUUGAUCUGAGCUACGAGACGAAGUUAAACUUGUUUGACGAAGCUAUUGAUACCAUGCUUCCAGGAAAAGCUUCUAAGUUUAUUGUAUAAGUGACCGUACUGUAAACCGACACUGGUGGGUAGG
rnacentral:rRNA from 1 species